UCCUACGGGAGGCAGCAGUGGGGAAUAUUGCACAAUGGGCGCAACCCUGAUGCAGCCAUGCCGCGUGUGUGAAGAAGGCCUUCGGGUUGUAAAGCACUUUCAGUAGGGAGGAAGGUAGUGUAGUUAACACCUGCACUAUUUGACGUUACCUACAGAAGAAGCACCGGCUAACUCCGUGCCAGCAGCCGCGGUAAUACGGAGGGUGCGAGCGUUAAUCGGAAUUACUGGGCGUAAAGCGCAUGCAGGCGGCCUGUUAAGUCAGAUGUGAAAGCCCGGGGCUUAACCUCGGAAUUGCAUUUGAAACUGGCAGGCUAGAGUCUUGUAGAGGGGGUAGAAUUUCAGGUGUAGCGGUGAAAUGCGUAGAGAUCUGAAGGAAUACCAGUGGCGAAGGCGGCCCCCUGGACAGAUACUGACACUCAGAUGCGAAAGCGUGGGGAGCAAACAGGAUUAGAUACCCUGGUAG
rnacentral:rRNA from 1 species